UCUCCACCUUCGUCGGCCAUUAAUCGCACUCCACCGCCGUCUUCCUCGACCUGUCGAUAGCGAGUCACCGCUGCUUACCAACGUCCUGAAACGCUAACCCUGGAUCUUUCCGUAGACAGGCUUCAGACGUUGUACAGAAGUUGGGAAGAUGAGCCGGAUGUUGGGUAGAGAGACAAGGCAUUUGCAGCUAGUGGUGAUAUUGUGUCCAUCUAUAAUAUGCUGAAAGAAGGUUAUACCAUUAAUAUAGUAAAGGUUUUUUUCACGGCUGCUACCGUUCCGGAGGCUGCGCUAAUUCAUGAACGAUAUCUGAAGUGCAAACACUCUGUGAGUUUGUCCAUGUCGAGCCAAUCGACUGGACAUUCAAGAAUCUCAUUCGUCACGCGUAACUGUCGUGUAUAUUCACUUUGACGCUGCAUAGGGCGAUGCAGUGUUGCAUGUAAUUCUAUGAUGAUAACUUUUGUUUGUGGAUUGAUACCGACUAAGUCCUUUACUUAGGUUGAACUUGCAUAUGUUGUUUCCUUUUGUGUGUUUGUUGCUAUGCUUUGCCUUUGGAUUGUAUAUGUUGGUUGUAUUGCUAACU